rnacentral:rRNA from 1 species
CAGCAGCCGCGGGAAUACAGAGGGUGCGAGCGUUAAUCGGAUUUACUGGGCGUAAGCGUGCGUAGGCGGCUUCUUAAGUCGGAUGUGAAAUCCCUGAGCUUAACUUAGGAAUUGCAUUCGAUACUGGGAAGCUAGAGUAUGGGAGAGGAUGGUAGAAUUCCAGGUGUAGCGGUGAAAUGCGUAGAGAUCUGGAGGAAUACCGAUGGCGAAGGCAGCCAUCUGGCCUAAUACUGACGCUGAGGUACGAAAGCAUGGGGAGCAAACAGGAUUAGAUACCCCUGUAGUCCCUGUUUCUUAUACA